GACGGCCACCCCAUGUUGAAACACCGGUUCCCGUACGAUCACCGAAGUUAAGCAACGCCGAGCCUGGUUAGUAUCUUAAUGGGUGACCACUUGGGAAUACCAGGUGCUGUAAG